rnacentral:rRNA from 1 species
CCUACGGGCGGCAGCAGUGAGGAAUAUUGGUCAAUGGGCGGUAGCCUGAACCAGCCAAGUCGCGUGAAGGAUGAAUGUCCUAUGCAUUGUAAACUUCUUUUGUCUGGGGAUAAAGUGCGGCAUGUGUGCUUCGUUGAAUGUACCUGAUGAAAAAGCAUCGGCUAACUCCGUGCCAGCAGCCGCGGUAAUCCGGAGGAUGCGAGCGUUAUCCGGAUUUAUUGGGUUUAAAGGGUGCGUAGGCGGACUGUUAAGUCCGUGGUAAAAGUUCGGGGCUCAACCCUAGACGGCCGUUGAAACUGGCUGUCUUGAGAUGUGGAGAGGUAUGCGGAAUGCGCGGUGUAGCGGUGAAAUGCUUAGAUAUUGCGAAGAACUCCGAUUGCGAAGGCAGCCUGCCGGCGGCGAACUGACGCUGAGGCACGAAAGCGUGGGUAUCGAACAGGAUUAGAUACCCCUGUAGUC